AUGGGAAAGAGGAAAACAGGAUAGAAGACUGCAGGAUCUAUCACCAUGUUUCCAACUACUCCGCAUAGACAUGCAAAACAUGAAGAAUCUCCCUCCUGUUGGCACAAUUAUGAAUGCCAUGAAGGUGGCUUCUUUUUUUGUGGAGUCUAGGACAAUCUACGUCCAAGGAAAUUUAGAGUCUUUUGAGGAGCUACUUGUCAACAGUCUAGUUGAGGACAGAAUUUUUCUAGCUUAAAAGACUGCUAGAGCCAGGCAUGGUGGCACACAUCUGUAAUUCUAGCAUUCAGAAGGAUAAGAUCAGAAGAUCAUUAAUUCACUUCCAGCUUGGGAUAUACAGCAAGCCCAAGGAUAACUUGACUACAGAACAAGACUGCUACAGUAGAUGUUGCUUUGAAAAUGAGUCACAAAUAACAGACACAUAGCAAAACUCAGUAUAUGUGAGGAUGAACAGAAUGCAGCAACUGUGUAGAAUAAGGUGAGCAAAUUGGUAAUCGUUUUCUGAACUCUUUACUUUAAGGCUUGUUAUAUAUUUCUUGUCUGUGUCCUAUUGAUAGCUAUAGCCAGGUGGAAGGAUCUGCCCCUUUAUUCAUCAUAAUCUAG
rnacentral:lncRNA from 1 species